GGGAGGCAACCUCAAAUCCGCCUCCCUGGGGACAAACAGGGACUUAGAGAGGCUGCCUUCACUGCCAGCCAUGACUCUUCACUGGGGCCUGCGGCUGCCAGGCACUGGAUAUUGAGCCCUAAGCGUGCACUUUGCCACUGCGUCACAUAUACAGCUUUACCCCGGACGUUCUUGACAGCUUCUUUGCCGGCUUCAUGGUCCAAUUGAAGAGAUCAACUAGGCCAGGGCCAAAGGCAAUGUCUUCUGCCAGCAUCAGUAGGAAUCUCUGGACCUGGCAGCCGGAGUCUCACCGUUGCCUGUUUCUCUCUACCACCUCCUUCUAAACAUCCCUCGUCCACACCAAGUCCACUCACUGGGGGACGUCCACUGCGUUGGAAAGCCCCGCAGGCCACACCAGAUGCAUCCAUAAGCUAAGUCUCCAUUUGUUACUGUGACCGAAUCCCCAGCCUCCCUUCCUACUGACUUCUCAGUCUCUCCCCUGAUCCCCUGAUCCCCCUCCCACAAGGGCUUAUUCACUUGUUUGUUCAUCAAACAUUUAUGGACCACUGGGUUUUGUAGAGUCUGAGAUGAAUCAGGCAAACAUCAUGCCCUCAGGGGGUUCAUAGACCAGGGAAUAAGAAAGGUGCAUGAACUGAAAAUCAUCAUCUGUGUGAUAAGAGCUAUAAAAGUGGGAACCCCAGGAGUUAUGGGAGGGAAGAGGGGCUCUGGCCAGGGGUUCAGGGAAGGUCCCCACAGCAAGUGUGAUUUUAAGGGCAGAGUAUUCAGGGAUAACUAGCAGCAAUGGUGGGGUGGGGGGAGUGAGUUCCUAGAGCAUUUUGUGCCUGUGAGAUAUAAGGCUGGGAGAUAAGGAUGAUUCAGAUUUGGAGAGUUUGAACUUCAUGAAAAGUGUCUGCACAGCAGAAAGAACUUGGACAGAACUUUAGCCAUUCAAAAGCCCUAGAAAACUCCUUCGCCAAGGGGAAAUUUUCUCCUCUGGUAUUUGGUCUCUGUUUAGGAGGCCUGAUUGGAGGAUGUCUUUGUACAUUUUGUGUUGCUGUAACAAAAUACCUGAGGAUAUUUGGUUGGCCCAUGAUUCUCUCAGCUGGAAAAUCCCAACAUCCUGGUGCCAGUCUUGGUGAGGGCUCCCUGGCUGUGUCACAGCAUGGUGGAGAGGCAGAAAGAGAACUGGCCCCACAUACCGAGACAGGAAGCACCAGAGCUGGCAGGGGCCAGGCUCAUCAUUUUUAUAAACAUCCUACUCUUGUGGGAAAUAAUCCACUUCUGCAGGACCCAACCCAUCCCAUGAGACUAGCAUUAAUCCACUCAUGAAGGUGGAGCCCACGUGACCUAAUGAUCUCCCACUGGUUCCCUGCCACCACACUGGGGACCAAGCUUCUCACACACGAACAUGUUGAGGGACAAGGCAGAUCCAAACCUUAGCCAAUGGGCUAAGCCUGGAUAUGGGUCAGAAGGUCUCGUGAUGAUGAGAAUGUAAACCUAAGCAGGGGCAGGAAGCCCAACCCAGAAGGUGCUGGCUGAGGAUUGAUUGGUUGGUCAGAUCAGGGGGGACGUAGGGAGCAGCUGAACAUGGGGGUGAAGACAACAGCAGACUCUUCGUUGGCUCUAAAUUGAUGCUGGUGGUUGAGCCUUAGAGAGCUCUGUACCUCAGGUUCCUCCGCACGUUCCCUUUCUGCCUUCGAGGGCAGUUCUCCUCCUCUUCCUCCCACCCCACCGUCAAUAAAGCUCGCACCGAGCCCCUUUCCCAGGUGAGCCCGCCGUCUCCUUGGGCCAGGCUCGGGACUCCUGGGAGCCACCAAUGUUACCGUGUCCUUUCUCUAAGGCUCUGGGGCUCACCUCCUGCACAAAUAUUGAUUCUUGGCCUGAUUAAUACUGCUAUUUAUAUUAACAAUGCAUUUGUUCACCAAAAAAAUAAUUAGCACAAGAAAGCUGAAUAUUAUUAGGGGCCUCAUUAAUUUCACCAAGUUUAUUUAAGUGACAGCAGGAUGUCAAGUCAAUAAUGAGUACUAAUUAAUAAACACAUCUGAACACCUUGAAGCACACUCGAGUAGGGGCACAGAAACCUAAGUGGGGCGGGGGCUGGUUUCUGAGGAGCACAGGGGAUACCUCCUCUUUUGAAUGGAGGGUCCCAAGUGUGAUGACCUAAGGUCUGAUGUGCAAGGCAGGUGGCCUUGCUGAGUUAUGCAAAGGGCUGACGGUGGCCAGUCUGGGGUCUGAAGAGCUAGCAUAAGGCCAUUAGUGGCCUGAGACUCUGCCUCAUGACUCCUCUCACUGAGGAAGCAUCGAGGACCUGGGUGGCUUUUGGAACCAGACCCUGUUUUGACACCAACCUCACCUUCUGGAGAGGCUGUGGAUUGGGCAUGAGGGGCUCUAUUGGAAGAGCUCGGUGACCUGCUACGUCCGGGAACCUAGAAGUGCCCCCUCUGCUCCCUUUGUGGCCACCUCUGGAUAGAGACCAAGUGCGUGGAUUCAGUGUGGCACGACCGCGGCCUUCCUGAGUCUUGGCCACCGUGACUGCCCUGGCAUAGCCCUGGCUCUUUCUUCCUGCAUAGUCCCCGACAAAUUAUAAAUAGGCAAACUGUAGGCGUGGCGUACUGCGCUUUAGAACAUGGCUCUGACUCAGGGAUGAGCCUGCCUCUUACAUGGUAGCUCAAGAUGAAGCCAUUUCCGCCCUGGCCCACACCCACACUGUCUUUCUGACCCGAAUGGCAGGAUCCAUCUGUUCCUGCUGCCGCCCAGAACCUGCUCUGCCAGUCAGUCUGCGUUCCUGGGCCUGUCUGCCCCUCUCCUGGGUCUCAGACCACCCGGGGCCAGUCCCCACACACUGGGACCAGGCUGCUGCAGAACACCCAGGGCCCCUUUGCUUCCUUGGCUCAGCAGGGACAGGCCUUGAGCCCUCCGAGGCGUCUUCCCUGUAUGUGCCUCUCACGUUAAAGCUGCUGUUCAGAAGCCCUGGGAACCUGUAAUCGCCUCUCAGAGGUGGUUUUAUUCCUUUAACCUCCUCCCUGCUCCCUACUUAGAGCUAACACGAUUGGCAUGUUUAGGCAGAAUCCGCUGGCUUCAAACAAAGCAAGCUGUUCUGAGUACACAGCCCGGAGCCACCGCAGAGGACACCAGAGCUCCAGCUAUAAAGGAGCAGGGCUCUGGGGCAUCCCGCCUCUGAGAGCCAGGGGCAGCGGGAGUGCUGGGUCUGGGGCAGCUCCAGCCAGUGGCCCCAGGAAGUGCGAACCUGGCUUUCUAGUGCCGCCUCCGCCUUCUGUUUGGUUGUUGGGGAAAUUGAUCUUUCAGAUAUUUUAGCUGCAUGGGUGGAAAUCCGCACGUGCAGUGUUUUGCUAAGACCCAAAGCCUUCAGGGACUGUUUUGGGAGCAAGUCAGAGGCAGCCUCCACCCUCCCCAAGGGGCUUCAUCUCUGGGCCAGACCUGGGCUGGUGAGGUCUCCUGGACUCCUUGCAGUCACUCUGGGAAUUGAGAGCACCCCCAUUGUCAGGGGCUCAGUCCAAAGGUCUGGACGAAAGGCAGACAGCACACUGCUUGGACCCCUCUCUCCCUAGUUUCUCUGGCUGUCCCAGGCACCUGGGCUUCAGGCUUCUGCAAAGACAAAUCACACAAAUUGAGUCAAGAAACAGAGAAUAUGGAACCCGGCUGCCCUUCACCAAGCCAGACACCAGAGACUCUCAAAACCCAAGCAAGGCUGCUCCUCUCACCCAGUUUCUGUUUGGAAAACAUGGCUGGUCUGUAGGGAAUGCAUUAUUGAUGUGAUCAUGCCAUGGCUCAUUGCUAUUGAGUUAAUAAAUACCCUUCAAAUGUC